rnacentral:ncRNA from 1 species
GAUAGAAUAAUGUAGGUAAGGGAAGUCGGCAAAACGGAUCCGUAACUUCGGAACAAGGAUUGGCUCUAAGGGCUGGGCCGAUCGGGCUGAGGUUUCAAGCGUGCAGUGUAUGCUUGGCUGAGUUGUGUUGAGGACUUGUUCACUUGCCGCCGUUUGUUCGGUUGGUCUAGUGUAUUCGAGUCUGAAGCAGAGCUGGCCGACAGACCGGCACGUGCAGAACCUGAGCUGCGCGGCUGUCCGUUUACGUGUACAGACCGUUUCGGUCGGCAUUCAACAGCCAACUUAGAACUGGCACGGACACAAGGAAUCUGACUGUAUAAUUAAAACAAAGCAUUGCGAUGGCCGAUGAUCGGUGAUGACGCAAUGUGAUUUCUGCCCAGUGCUCUGAAUGUCAAAGUGAAGAAAUUCAAUCAAGCGCGGGUAAACGGCGGGAGUAACUAUGACUCUCUUAAGGUAAUUUCGUCCGUGCGGCGGCGUUUUCUUUUCGCUCUCCGCUCGUCGAAAUUUGCUGUAGUUGAUUCGCUUUUUCUUUGCGUUUUCUUCUACUUUCGCAGUUUUUUCUGCAUUGCCACGAUGUCAAACCGCCUUGCCAAUACUGCUGCGGCUGGUGGGGUUCCAGAGAAAAACUCGGGAACUUUAGACAUUCCUGGCCAACCCUCCUCAUCCGGUGAAAAGCGUGCGAUCUCUUAUCCUGGUCCAUUCGGUUGCAAUUCGUGUUCGUUUACGAGUACGACUUGGCUCUCAGUGGAAUUGCAUUUCAAAAGCGUCCAUAAUACUCGCGAGUUUGUCUUCCUUUGCUCUAAAUGUGAAAAAAGCUGGCCAUCGAUCAACUCCGUAGCUAGCCAUUACCCUCGGUGCAAAGGUAGCGUCAAAGCUGCAGUUGUUCCUUCAUCUUUGGCGAAUACGUGCACCACGUGCGGCUCAAGCUUCGGUACUUUCAGCGGUCUUCAACUCCAUCGGAAAAGAGCGCAUCCGGACGUUUUUGCUGCUUCAUGUAGCAAAAAAACGAAGGCCCGUUGGUCUAACGACGAAUUCAUCCUUCUGGCGAGACUCGAAGCAGGUCUGGAUCCAGCCUGCAAAAACAUUAACCAAGUACUUGCGGAAAGGUUAAUGGGAUUUAACAUCACCAGAGGCGUAGAAAUGAUAAAAGGCCAACGUAGAAAAGAUCAGUACAAAGCGCUCGUUCGUCAACUCCGGUCAAAUUCUGAAACACAGCAAUGUGUAGGUUUAGCCGGAAGCAUGGAUUCGAACGUGCCGGUCAACGAUACAACGUCUUCCGUUGCAUCAGAGGUCACCAUUACGUACCCUGAGUACGGGGCCGUGAUGUCUUGCGACCUCAUUAAAGAAGCGACCGGUAUGGCCACGGUUGACAUCAACGAGUUGCAAAGCAACAUUCGAAAAGUCUUCUCGUCCGGCCGCAAACUUCCCAUGAAGGUCCGUGGAGUGCGCGAAACCGUCCAGAAGAAAAUGGCCAACCCCCGUGUUGCGAAAUUCAAGCGGUUCCAACGUUUGUUUCGAAGCAACAGGAGGAAACUGGCCAGCCACAUUUUCGAUAAAGCCUCACUGGAGCAAUUCGGUGGCAGCAUCGAUGAGGCAUCUGAUCACUUAGAAAAAUUCCUCUCCCGGCCAAGAUUGGAGUCCGAUUCUUAUUCCGUGAUAAGCGGUGAUAAGUCAAUCGGAGUUGCACAUCCAAUUUUGGCUGAGGAUGUGGAAUUGGAAUUAAAGGCCACCCGACCAACUGCCGUUGGCCCGGAUGGAAUUGGAUUGGAAGACAUCAAAAAAUUAAACACAUACGACUUAGCCAGUCUUUUUAACAUUUGGCUAAAAGCUGGCGACUUACCCGAUUCGGUGAAAGCCAGUAGAACCAUCUUCUUGCCCAAAAGCGACGGCACCACCGACAUAUCAAAUUGUCGGCCAAUUACAAUCGCAUCCGCUUUGUAUCGGCUGUUCAGUAAAAUUAUAACGCGGCGUCUGGCAGCCAGGUUGGAACUGAACGUGCGGCAGAAAGCGUUCCGGCCCGAAAUGAACGGCGUAUUUGAAAAUUCUGCCAUUUUAUACGCCCUCAUCAAGGAUGCAAAGGUCAGGUCGAAGGAAAUUUGCAUAACUACGCUCGACCUCGCCAAGGCCUUCGACACGGUGCCCCAUUCACGUAUUUUACGAGCCCUCAGAAAAAAUAAUGUCGACCCGGAAUCUGUCGACCUGAUUUCGAAAAUGUUGACGGGUACGACGUAUGCCGAAAUAAAAGGGCUCCAGGGCAAACCUAUAAUAAUUCGCAAUGGAGUCAGGCAAGGUGACCCCUUGUCGCCCCUAUUAUUUAGUCUAUUUAUAGACGAAAUAAUAGGUCGCCUACAAGCCUGCGGCCCUGCCUACGAUUUCCAUGGCGAAAAAAUUUGCAUUCUGGCUUUCGCCGAUGAUCUGACGCUGGUGGCUGACAGUGCAGCUGGUAUGAAGAUCCUUUUGAAAGCGGCUUGUGACUUUCUGGAGGAAUCUGGAAUGUCACUUAAUGCAGAGAAAUGCCGCACUCUCUGCAUUUCACGAUCUCCUCGAAGCCGCAAGACAUUCGUCAACCCAGCUGCCAAAUUCAACAUCAGCGAUUGGAAAACGGGUGUCAGCUCAGAAAUCCCCUCCCUGUGUGCGACGGACACCUUUCGUUUCCUGGGGCACACCUUCGAUGGAGAAGGAAAGAUCCACAUCGAUACGGAGGAAAUUCGAUCCAUGCUCAAAUCGGUGAAGUCAGCUCCACUGAAACCGGAACAGAAGGUGGCUUUGAUACGGUCACACCUUCUUCCCCGCCUUCAGUUCCUGUUUUCUACAGCUGAAGCUGACAGCCGGAAAGCCUGGCUGAUCGACUCCAUCAUCCGGGGGUGUGUGAAGGAGAUCUUGCACUCAGUGAAAGCUGGUAUGUGCACUGAUAUCUUUUACAUACCCUCUAGAGACGGUGGACUGGGAUUUACUUCUCUCGGGGAGUUUUCCCUCUUCAGCAGGCAGAAGGCUCUCGCCAAGAUGGCUGGAUCGUCAGACCCCCUCUCGAAACUGGUUGCUGAAUUCUUCAUUGAAAGGUGGAACAUCGCCCGUGACCCGAAAGUUAUUGAAGCUGCUCGGCGCGUCUACCAGAAAAAACGGUAUCAACGCUUUUUCCAGACGUACCAGAGCGGUGGAUGGAGCGAAUUUUCGGGAAACACUAUUGGAAACGCCUGGCUGACAAACGGCCGUGCCCGCGGAAGAAACUUCAUAAUGGCUGUGAAAUUCCGUUCGAACACCGCAGCCACCCGGGCCGAAAACCUACGGGGCCGUCCCGGCAUGAAAGAAUGUCGGUUUUGCAAGAGUGCCAUCGAAACUCUGGCACACAUCUGCCAGAAGUGUCCGGCAAAUCACGGCUUGGUAAUCCAGCGCCACGACGCAGUCGUAACAUUCCUUGGAGAAGUAGCGCGGAAGGAAGGUUACCAGGUCAUGAUAGAGCCUAAGGUGUCAACCCCGGUCGGCGCGCUCAAGCCCGACCUCCUUCUCAUCAAAGCCGACACUGCAUUCAUUGUGGAUGUAGGCAUCGCAUGGGAAGGUGGACGCCCACUAAAGCUGGUCAACAAAAUGAAAUGUGACAAGUACAAAGUUGCCAUCCCGGCAAUUUUGGAAACAUUUCACGUUGGCCAUGCUGAGACGUACGGCGUUAUUCUGGGCAGCCGCGGAUGCUGGCUCAAGAGCAACGACAAGGCGUUGGCAUCAAUUGGGCUCAAUAUCACACGGAGGAUGAAAGAACACCUGAGCUGGUUGACGUUCGAAAACACCAUCCGAAUUUAUAACUCUUUCAUGAAAAACUGAGGUUUUUUUUUGUUUUCUUUUUCCUUUUACCAUUCUUUCUUGUUACAUUGUUGUUAUUUGCUUUAAUCCUGCAUUUUACCGUCGGCAAUUCCAUCGUUAUUAUUACUGUUAUUAUUAUUAUUGUUACUAUUGUUAUUACUUUUACUUACUAUUGUUAUUACGCUUUAAUUUGUAUACUUACGUUAUUGUUACUACUACUCACGUUGCUCUCGCAAACGUUCGUUAUUGUUACUUUUGGACCAGGUUUAGAGAAAUCGCACGCACAGCGGAACUGGACCGCUUAAGCCAGAAAUAGUAAAGUAACAAUAGCCAAAUGCCUCGUCAUCUAAUUAGUGACGCGUAUGAAUGGAUCAACAAGAUUCCUUCUGUCCCUAUCUACUAUCUAGCGAAACCACAGCCAAGGGAACGGGCUUGGCAAAAUCAGCGGGGAAAGAAGACCCUGUUGAGCUUGACUCUAGUCUGACUCUGUGAAGAGACAUGAAAGGUGUAGCAUAGGUGGGAGAUUGUCAAAUUGCCAUCGUUCGCGCGGUGGUCCGGUGAUCGCCAAUGAAAUACCACUACUUUGAUCGUUUCUUUACUUAUUCGGUAAAGCGAAAAAAUUGUGGCCAAUUUGGCGGUGUUUAUGUCGCUGUUGGUCAUUGUUUUCAUGUUAGAUUGAAGCUUUGUUUACAGCCGUCGCUUUGUGUCGCCAUUUGACGCAUUGUUGUACUGGGUUAUCCCGGUGUGUGGUGUAGUCAGUAUGGAUGAUCGGCGAUAGGUUUGAAGUGAUUCGCUCCGGAAACAGUGUCAGACGGGGAGUUUGACUGGGGCGGUACAUCUGUUAAACGAUAACGCAGGUGUCCUAAGGUAAGCUCAGCGAGGACAGAAACCUCGCUUAGAGUAAACGGGCACAAGCUUACUUGAUUUUGAUUUCCAGUACGAAUAGAAACCGCGAAAGCGUGGCCUAUCGAUCCUUUUGAUUGUGUAGAUUUCAUGCAAGAGGUGUCAGAAAAGUUACCACAGGGAUAACUGGCUUGUGGCAGCCAAGCGUCCAUAGCGACGUUGCUUUUUGAUCCUUCGAUGUCGGCUCUUCCUAUCAUUGCGAAGCAGAAUUCGCCAAGCGUUGGAUUGUUCACCCACCAAUAGGGAACGUGAGCUGGGUUUAGACCGUCGUGAGACAGGUUAGUUUUACCCUACUGAUGACAAGUCGUUGCGAUAGUAAUCCUGCUCAGUACGAGAGGAACCGCGGGAUCAGACAUUUGGUUCAUGCGCUCGGCUGAAAGGCCGGUGGCGCGAAGCUAGCAUCUGCAAGAUUAUGACUGAACGCCUCUAAGUCAGAAUCUUUUCUAGUCAUUGGCAACGAUAAGUUGCGUCCAGACUCGAUGCGAGGAAACGAUUAGGCUUUGCUAUACGGCGAAGCCAUUAUCAGACCACGGUAGCAGGCAGUAUGGGAUUGUUACGAAAAAGCAAUUUUUUGAAGUCAGUUGAAUUCAAUCAAACUGCUAACAAUUCCACUGCGAAUGACUCCAUUCGAAUCAAUCGAAGCACAGCGGUCAGGAUGUCGAACAUUUUGCAGACGACAAAAAUACCGGUUCAGGUGUCGUAAUCAGUAGAGCAGUCAACACACUGCGAUCUGAUGAGACUCAUCCUUGUAAUCGAUUUGCUC